AAGUCGUAACAAGGUUUCCGUAGGUGAACCUGCGGAAGGAUCAUUAUUGAAUGAACUUGGCAUGGUUGUUGCUGGUCCUCUCGGGGGCAUGUGCACACCUGUCAUCUUUAUCUUUCCACCUGUGCACAUUUUGUAGGCCAAAAAAUUUCCCGAGGCAACUCGGUUUGGGGGACUGCUGUGCAUCACUGCCGGCUUCCCCUGGAUUUUUGGGCCUAUGUUUUCACAUACACCAUAAGAAUGUAAUUGAAUGUUAUACUGGGCUUUGUUGCCUAUAAACUAUAUACAACUUUCAGCAACGGAUCUCUUGGCUCUC
rnacentral:misc_RNA from 1 species